GCCCUACAGUAGUUCCACGUUUCACGUUGAUAGCCUGAAAGUAACAUUGACUUGCAUCAGUGACCCUACAGCUAGCAUCGUUACUUUCCUCGUUGUAGUCGGUGCCCAAUAACGUUACUUUACCUAUGUAGACGUUCAACUCGGAAACUUCAACAGUGACCAUACAUACUACCAUUUGCAAGGCAUAGGACAACAGAUACUCUCAUGGCUGUUUCUGAAAGAGAAAAUUCAAGAGUAGACUUUUAUAGAGAAGGCCAGCCAAGGUGAGAAGUACCCUGGUGGGUCACUGCCUCUGCAAUUUAGCAAUAGAAAGUCUUCAAACGUGGAACACCACAUGGGAUUGGGAAGCAUGUCACCCAACCUUUGACGUGAUGGUCAUCCCCACCAGUUUGAUAGGAUUUCAGAAUAAAUAAACUCCUAUCAAUUAAAUUAAAAAAAAAUAAUUAUUCCCUUUGAAUAUUCACUCUCUUCAUUUUAGUCUUACCCUCAAAAAAAUAAUAUAGCCUCAGAGAUUUCAUAGGCUUAAUUUGAUUAAUAAUUGUCCUUAAUGACCCAAGCUUGAGUGUUAUUGGAUAGGAGGCACAAUGGAAUGGGUAUAAGAAAAGACAAAUACACACAGCUGGAGACGGGACCAAUUAUCCUGUCAUGACCACACCCCGUUAGCUGCAAAACCAAACUCCAAGCAAUUGCUUUCAGAAAAUUUAUUCCCUUCACACUUCAUCUCAUUGCUACUUCCUAGCACCUGCAUAAUCUGCCAAAUUUUUCAGUUUGAAAAGAGACUGCAACCCUUCACACUUCCCUUCACACUUCACACUUCAUCUCAAUGCUCAUGUGUAUCAUAUUCAUAUAUUCCCUUAAUCCCUGCACUUGAAGACCUGAGUCCAGCAUUGGGAAAAAGUCCAAUCAUAUCACUAAGUGAAUUUAACAAAAAUUCAUGAUCCCAUUCCUCAAAGCAUGGAACUGUAAUCUUUGACUGGGUCACAUAUAAAUCCCACAUCUUUGGCUCCCUGACUUAGGUCAUAAGUUUAGACUUUCCAAGAAACUACUGGUCUUUUGAAAGUGUCAACAGAAAAAAGGCACAUGGUUGGGCACGACUUCACUCCUCAACGAGUCACUAUCUGCAAUAACUUCAAUGCAAAUAUGCAAAUGUCCUGAUGAGGAUUUAUAUUACCAAAUUCCAGAAAUAACCAUGAAGAUUGCUACUUAAAAGAUCAUUUAUCCUACUCAUAGUUCAAGAAGAUCGCACAAGUCACCUCUCCCCAUACAUUUACACAGCCAAAAUUUGAAAAGUCUCCUUUCAGUAAACAUGGAUUCCAUAAGUCGACUAAGAACAUAUCCAGUCCACAUUGAAUGCCAUAUAUUGACUCGUAGCUAUCAACAUAUAACCCAGAAUAAGGGUGAAAUACACUGGGAAGAUGCCAAACCCAAGACACUCCUACAUAUUAUAAAUCUCAAAACUGAGAAAAUCAUGUGUCAAAAUCCAUUGGCUAUAUGAAUAUCAACUCCUUCAUUCUAAUUUCUGCUACUCCUCCUCCUGUAGAAGUUACUGACAGUACAAGUUAUAGAAAGAUGAGAGAGCACUAGGAUGAUGAUGAUGACCAUCGUAUGAUAAAUUGCUGAUCCACAAGCAACAGUACAUGAUCUACAUCUAACUGCAGGAGAUUUGACCUUUUAUUCCAUUGCACUUGAUCAAUAUCCCUGUGUUUGAGAUAUGCCUCAAAAUCACCCCUUUCUUUGUUCCAUUGAUGGCAGUAUAAGGCAAGGAAGUUACAGCUACAGCAGAGAAUCAAAAGCACUAGUAUGAAGAACCAGGCUGAACCAGGCUAAUAUUUUCAAUAGAUGUUUCCCCUUAAAAGUACAAAGAGAAGAUAGUAAACCUCUUAGAAAUCUAAAUAAGAUGCCACAAUUGGCAAAUGUGGAACAGAUCCAGGAAUUCCAGAAAACAUCAUCAUGAGAUGAAACCACAAAUGUAGCCAGUGACAUGCUUAACCUAUUAAAGAACGAAAAAUGCCACAGCUAAGAAGGCCUACUCCCAGACGCAUGUAUUGCCCAUUGUCUCUUCAAAGAUCAUAACCUUUCACAAACAAAAUUGCCAACAUCUAAACUGCUAAAACCAAAAAUAGGUAAAACUACGAGGACCCUUGGAUGCAAAAUAUAACAAGGAACUAUCUAAAAGUUCCCCACUUGAAUCAUCUCAGCCCACCAGCCAUCAUCAGAACCUAACAGUUAUAAAUGCUCUAGUGCUACAAGCAGUAAUGGAUUAUGGACCUGCAAAUUUCUUGUGUCAAUUAAAGCACAUAACAAGGGAGGCGGACAAAGAGAGAGAGAGAGAGAGAGUUGUGUUUCAGAGAUAAAAGACAGAAAAGUAAAGAUUUGGGAGAGGGUUUGGGUACGAGUAUGCGUCAUUAUUUGAAGGGAGAGAGAGGGGAAAAGAGAGAAGGUUACGG
rnacentral:misc_RNA from 1 species